CAGGAAAUAGUUUAUUUAAAAUAUUAAUUUUGGAGAUUAAAGUAGAAAGGAUUCUUUUUUUCCUGA
rnacentral:tRNA from 1 species